UGUGGUUGGAGGGCUGGUUAAUGAAGAUACCCUCAAGUCAUUGAGAUGUUUUAGAUGUUGAAGAUACUGACUCAUUUGACUAUAGCAAGCCCUGAGACGAAGAGGUGACAAGCAGCAGGAUGGCUGUUAAGUCAAUCAGAGCCAACUACUUCAUCAUAAUCAAUUUGAUCCCCUUUUGGAUGCUUGUCUGUAAUGAUGCAGUUUGAAGAAAAAUACAGCAGUGAGAAUCCUGUCAAUCAAACCGCUAGAAGUGUGAUUUGACCCUUUCCAAUUACUAUCUGUCAUUAUCCCAGCCAAAAUUAAACAAUGUGUCCUUC